AAAGAUGUGCACAAAUUAAUGCCAAUUGAGGAUCUUCAGUCCUGGAUCUAUGCUCAAUGGAUCAGACUCAUAGCCAGCAUAUUGAUCAGCUCUCCACUCCCAGCAAAAUGAGCACAUCUAGCAACAGAGGCAUGGAAAGGCAAGUGGUUUCCCCUGCUCAUUUCAAGGCAGCAUUUAGCACCUCUCUAGGGACGGGACGUCUGCCUGUGAAGAGUCAACAUGCAGGUGUUCAAGGCAGAGGUGUUUACUGCACCUGUCAGGAGGUGGAGAGGAUGUGGACUGUCGUGGCCAGAACAAGGACCUCUUGCCUGUAUCAAUCCAGGAUGGUCACAACUCAUGACAAAGUAAAUGUAUAUUCUUUGAAAAUUGGCUCUUCUCUGUGUAAAGGAUUUUCACAACUCAUAUCUCCACUAAAAUUGGUUUUAUAUACUAUAGUCAAAGCUUAGUAACAUAACACCUGUCUUCUGGAGUAAGAAUGCUGUUUUCAAAUCUAUGAAUUCACUGUCUUUUAUCUAGCAUGUAUAAAAUAAAUAAGGAAUUAUUUGAGAG
rnacentral:lncRNA from 1 species